rnacentral:rRNA from 1 species
GAUGAACGCUGGCGGCGUGCCUAAUACAUGCAAGUCGAGCGAACAGACGAGGAGCUUGCUCCUCUGACGUUAGCGGCGGACGGGUGAGUAACACGUGGAUAACCUACCUAUAAGACUGGGAUAACUUCGGGAAACCGGAGCUAAUACCGGAUAACAUGUUGAACCGCAUGGUUCAACAGUGAAAGACGGUCUUGCUGUCACUUAUAGAUGGAUCCGCGCCGCAUUAGCUAGUUGGCAAGGUAACGGCUUACCAAGGCAACGAUGCGUAGCCGACCUGAGAGGGUGAUCGGCCACACUGGAACUGAGACACGGUCCAGACUCCUACGGGAGGCAGCAGUAGGGAAUCUUCCGCAAUGGGCGAAAGCCUGACGGAGCAACGCCGCGUGAGUGAAGAAGGUCUUCGGAUCGUAAAACUCUGUUAUUAGGGAAGAACAAAUGUGUAAGUAACUAUGCACGUCUUGACGGUACCUAAUCAGAAAGCCACGGCUAACUACGUG